GUUCACUCUGUGUCCAGCUUUUGCUGUCCUCUCCUCUCUUCUCUCCUCGCUUCUGGUUUAUCAGCUCUGUCAGAAAAAAGCUAAAGAACCUCAAGUUGAUCAGCAAAGACCUCAAACAGGACUGAAUCAGGAUGAAGAUGUGUGUUAUGCUGCAGUGGAAAUCCGUCAGGCAUCACAGAGACCAAAGAAGAAGAAAACCUUGAGUUCUGACUUCAGCACCUAUUCUGCCAUCAAUACUUCCAGGAUGUAGAGAGCCUAAAACAAGACAACAGACGUAAUAAAUUGUAUAAUGAUGAUUAAUGGUGAAUGAUAUAAUUCAUUCAUAGGAAUAUGUAUAUAUCCUCCCGUCACUUAUUGUCCGCAUUUAAGGCUGAGCAACAUUCAUCAUUAUCUGUAACUGAUAUGUAUGAAAAUUUGUAUGAACAAAUGUGCUUUUUGCUGAAAGUGGAAAGCAAUGAUGUUUUCCAAAAGUUGAUUUAAACUCUGUUUCUAAUUUCCUUACACCACAAAAAAAAAAUCUUGAGAUGGAA